GAUUUGCCAGCUGAAUACUUUCAAAGCUUGAGGGCAAUGAUGUUACAGAAUGGGAAUAAAACAGAAGCACAUUAUAUUGGAAAUUCCUACUACAGAGACUCAGUGACAAUCAUGAUCAAAGGGCAAGAAAUGGAGCUACUGAGGAUCAUGACCAUCUACACAGCUCUUGAUCUAUCCUGCAAUAAAUUCCAGGGGGAAAUUCCAAAAGUGAUUGGAGAGCUCACAUCACUUGUGUUUUUAAACUUGUCUCACAAUGACCUAACCGGCCAAAUCCCACCAUCGAUUGGAAACAUGGCCCAACUUGAAUCGUUGGAUCUCUCACGAAACAAGCUAUCAGGGAAAAUCCCUUGGCAAUUUACUAAUCUUACAUUCCUUGAGGUCCUGAACCUCUCUGAAAAUCAUCUUGAGGGACCUAUACCACGGAGCUCUCAGUUCGAUACAUUUUCAAACACUUCUUACAUUGAGAAUCCAGGAUUAUGUGGUUUCCCUUUAUCAAAGAAAUGUAGAAACACUAGUGAUGAUAUGCCACAACAAGGUGAGAAAUCAAAGUCAACAAAUGACUUCAAAUCUGUUUGGGAAUUCAUGUUGAUGGGUUAUGGAUGUGGAUUGGUAAUUGGGAUUGUCAUAGGACAUAUCAUUGUCAAGGAUGAGUGGCUUAUAAGAACUUUUAGAAUGGCACCAACUAGGCGACAGAGAAAUUCAAAAAGAGGAAGACUGAGGAGAGGAUGAAAAAAGGCACAUAAUGAAAUGUUACUUAUGGAGUGGAAACCUUAUCCCAAAACGAAAAGUACUUGAAAGGAGCUUUGCUAGAAAAUAAUCCAUUUCAAGGCAUGGUUGGCUGAUUGCAUGCAAACGAAGACUUGGUUGGCAUCCUUAAACCAUUUACUUGAUUUUUAGUCCUUUUACAGCAAAUAAUGGGUAACAUCUGUAGUCCCACACUGUUCUCGAAUGGUUUUUCUAUUUCCAUAAAUCUUUAUUAGAGGAUAAUAAAUAUUUGUUUGGAAUCAUAAUCAGAUUUCAAACUUUCAGGGUCUC